GCAGUAAUAGAUAGAAAGCAUGGUUGAUAAGGAUGUAUUAAGGAAUCGAUCGAGACGGGAUUAUGCGUAUCUAUGCGGAUGGCGUAAUCUGCGUUAGUCUUUUCAGUGUAUAUCGACACUGGAAUCAAGGGUGCCACUACAAGAUCAAAAUGCCAGGACACAGGUGGAAAAAGAGGAAGGGAGGCCCAGAGUGGUAUUGACAUACCGGGUGUUACAGCACACACGUGUUGUGCUCUGAUGUGCACAACCUUCUUCACUGUCAAAGAAGUGGAGGAGAUCCGUGAAGAAUACUAGACUCUUAACCAAGCAGACCAGAGAAAAUACUUGAAACGUGCCAUCAGGGAUGCCAGAGGUUCUGAUAGUCUACAUGGACGUGGUGCCUGUGAAGAGGCUUUUUUGAUGCUUCUUAAUGUUGGGCG